rnacentral:tRNA from 1 species
GGAAAUGUGGCUUAGUGGAAGAGUGCUUGCCUAGCAUGCAUGAAGCCCUGGGUUCAAUUCCUCAGUACCA